rnacentral:misc_RNA from 1 species
GAUGAAGAACGUAGCGAAAUGCGAUAAGUAAUGUGAAUUGCAGAAUUCAGUGAAUCAUCGAAUCUUUGAACGCACAUUGCGCCCGUCAGUAUUCUGGCGGGCAUGCCUGUUUGAGCGUCAUUACGCCCCUCAAGUCCCCUGUGGACUUGGUGUUGGGGAUCGGCGAGGCUGGUUUUCCAGCACAGCCGUCCCUUAAAUUAAUUGGCGGUCUCGCCGUGGCCCUCCUCUGCGCAGUAGUAAAACACUCGCAACAGGAGCCCGGCGCGGUCCACUGCCGUAAAACCCCCCAACUUUUUAUAGUUGACCUCGAAUCAGGUAGGACUACCCGCUGAACUUAAGCAUAUCAAUAAGAGGAGGA